rnacentral:rRNA from 1 species
UACGUAGGGGGCAAGCGUUGUCCGGAUUUACUGGGCGUAAAGAGCGUGUAGGCGGCCAGGGAGGUCCGUUGUGAAAACUCGAGGCUCAACCUCGAGACGCCGAUGGAAACCCCCUGGCUAGAGUCCGGAAGAGGAGAAUGGAAUUCCUGGUGUAGCGGUGAAAUGCGCAGAUAUCAGGAAGAACACCCGUGGCUAAGGCGGUUCUCUAGUACGGUACUGGACGCUGAGACGCGAAAGCGUGGGGAGCGAACAGG